UACAGAGGUCUCAAGCGUUGUUCGGAUUCAUUGGGCGUAAAGGGUGCGUAGGUGGCGCCGUAAGUCGGGUGUGAAAUUUCGGAGCUUAACUCCGAAACUGCAUUCGAUACUGCGGUGCUUGAGGACUGGAGAGGAGACUGGAAUUCAUGGUGUAGCAGUGAAAUGCGUAGAGAUCAUGUGGAAGACCAGUGGCGAAGGCGGGUCUCUGGACAGUUCCUGACACUGAGGCACGAAGGCCAGGGGAGCAAACGGG
rnacentral:rRNA from 1 species